UACGUAGGGUGCGAGCGUUGUCCGGAAUUAUUGGGCGUAAAGAGCUCGUAGGCGGUCUGUCGCGUCGGAUGUGAAAACCCAGGGCUCAACCCUGGGCCUGCAUUCGAUACGGGCAGACUAGAGUUCGGUAGGGGAGACUGGAAUUCCUGAUGUAGCGGUGAAAUGCGCAGAUAUCAGGAGAAACACCGGUGGCGAAGGCGGGUCUCUGGGCCGAAACUGACGCUGAGGAGCGAAAGCGUGGAGAACAAACAGG
rnacentral:rRNA from 1 species